rnacentral:rRNA from 1 species
CCCUUAGAUGUUCUGGGCCGCACGCGCGCUACACUGAUGAAUGCAACGAGCUCUACCCUUGACCGAAAGGCCCGGGUAAACUUGUGAAACUUCAUCGUGAUGGGGAUAGAUUAUUGCAAUUAUUAAUCUUCAACGAGGAAUUCCUAGUAAGCGCGAGUCAUCAGCUCGCGUUGAUUACGUCCCUGCCCUUUGUACACACCGCCCGUCGCUCCUACCGAUUGAAUGGUUUAGUGAGGACUCCUGAUUGGCGCCGCCGCCCCGGCAACGGAGCAGCGGACUGCCGAAAAGUUGUUCAAACUUGAUCAUUUAGAGGAAGUAAAAGUCGUAACA